rnacentral:tRNA from 1 species
CUGGGUAUGUAGCUCAGUGAUAGAGCACUUUCCUAGCAUGCCAGAGACUCUGGAUUCAAGACCCAGUACAAAGA